rnacentral:rRNA from 1 species
GAUGAACGCUAGCGGCAGGCCUAACACAUGCAAGUCGAGGGAGAAGCCUUUCUUGUCUGUAACCGGCGCACGGGUGCUUAACGCGUUUGCAACCUACCUUUCACACUCGUAUAGUCCGAAUAAAUUUGGAUUAAUACCCCAUAAUAUUGUUGGAUCGCAUCUUCUGAUAUUUAAAACUGCGGUUGUGAAAUUUUUGCAUGCUUCCUAUUAGCUAGUUGUAGUGGUAACGGCACCCCAAGGCUACGAUAGGUAGGGGUCCUGAGAGUGAGAUCCCCCACAGUGGUACUGAGACAGGGAAAAGACUCCUACGGGACGCAGCAGUGAGGAAUAUUGGUGAAUGGUAGGAAGACUGAACCAGCCAUGCCGGGUGCAGGAAGAAUGCCUUAUGGGUUGUAAACUGCUUUUAUAGGGGAAGAAUAAGGUGUACGUGUACAUUGAUGACGGUACCAUAUGAAUAAGCAUCGGCUAACUCCGUG